CAUGAACGCUGGCGGCGUGCCUAACACAUGCAAGUCGAACGUGAGGGGGUAGCAAUAUCCUUGAAAGUGGCGCACGGGUGAGUAAUACGUAGGUGACCUGCCCUGGAGUGGGGGAUAACAGCUAGAAAUGGCUGCUAAUACCGCAUAAUACGAGGAUGCUGGGAAGUGUUCUGGUAAAAACUCUGGUGCUUCAGGAGGGGCCUGCGGCCGAUUAGCUAGUUGGCGGGGUAAGAGCCCACCAAGGCAGUGAUCGGUAGCUGGUCUGAGAGGACGAUCAGCCACACGGGAACUGAGACACGGUCCCGACUCCUACGGGGGGCAGCAGUGAGGAAUAUUGGGCAAUGGGCGGAAGCCUGACCCAGCAACGCCGCGUGGAGGAAGACGGCCUUCGGGUUGUAAACUCCUUUUACGGGGGAAGAGGAAGGACGGUACCCCGAGAAUAAGUCACGGCUAACUACGUGCCAGCCGCCGCUGUAAAAC
rnacentral:rRNA from 1 species